UACGUAGGGACCAAGCGUUGUUCGGAUUUACUGGGCGUAAAGGGCGCGUAGGCGGCUUAACAAGUCACUUGUGAAAUCUCCGGGCUUAACUCGGAACGGCCAAGUGAAACUGUCAAGCUAGAGUGCAGAAGGGGCAAUCGGAAUUCUUGGUGUAGCGGUGAAAUGCGUAGAUAUCAAGAGGAACACCUGAGGUGAAGACGGGUUGCUGGGCUGACACUGACGCUGAGGUGCGAAAGCGUGGGGAGCAAACAGG
rnacentral:rRNA from 1 species